rnacentral:rRNA from 1 species
CCAGACUCCUACGGGAGGCAGCAGUGGGGGAUAUUGCACAAUGGGGGAAACCCUGAUGCAGCGACGCCGCGUGGGUGAAGAAGCGCCUCGGCGCGUAAAGCCCUGUCAGCAGGGAAGAAAAUGACGGUACCUGAAGAAGAAGCCCCGGCUAACUACGUGCCAGCAGCCGCGGUAAUACGUAGGGGGCAAGCGCUAUCCGGAUUUACUGGGUGUAAAGGGAGCGUAGACGGCAGUGCAAGCCUGGAGUGAAAGGAUGGGGCCCAACCCCAUGACUGCUCUGGGAACUGUACAGCUAGAGUGCCGGAGGGGUAAGCGGAAUUCCUAGUGUAGCGGUGAAAUGCGUAGAUAUUAGGAGGAACACCAGUGGCGAAGGCGGCUUACUGGACGGUAACUGACGUUGAGGCUCGAAAGCGUGGGGAGCAAACAGGAUUAGAUACCCGCGUA